rnacentral:rRNA from 1 species
UACGUAGGGUGCAAGCGUUAAUCGGAAUUACUGGGCGUAAAGCGUGCGCAGGCGGUUUGUAAGUCUGUCGUGAAAGCCCGGGCUCAACCUGGGAAUUGCGAUGGAGACUGCAAGGCUUGAAUCUGGCAGAGGGGGGUAGAAUUCCACGUGUAGCAGUGAAAUGCGUAGAGAUGAUGGAGGAACACCGAUGGCGAAGGCAGCCCCUGGGUCAAGAUUGACGCUCAUGCACGAAAGCGUGGGGAGCAAACAGG